rnacentral:lncRNA from 1 species
CUGGAUUUGAUGACCCCGUGGAACUAUACUGCUUCUCGAAAGGGAAGAUGCUCGUCUGUCAGCACCAUGCAGUGAGCACCCAGUGAAGUGAAAUGGCAGGUAUUCAGAGGUACCAAAAGGCCAUCAGUUUGUAAUGCUGGAAGGACACACCGGCCUGGGCAAGUAAGAGGCCAUCUGGAAUGAACGGAUCCACUGUAAAGUGGGAAUGAUCAUGGUUCCCAUCUACCCCAUCUGGAGAUGGACAGGCCUGGUGCUUCCUGAGCACUCAAUAAAGGGACCAUUAUUCCUGUCGAGGGAAGAACCCUGACCUCACAGAGGACGGCAAGAAGUAAGAAGGUGCCACAGGAGACAACAAAGCAAGCUGAUGGACUCACCAUCGCUCCAGAGUCACUGGAAGUAAACAAGACUCAGCGGACCAGAGUGAGACCAUCUGUUACUCUCAG